AGAGUGAACGCUGGCGGCAGGCCUAAUACAUGCAAGUCGAACGGCAGCACGGCAGAGCUUGCUCUGUGGGUGGCGAGUGGCGGACGGGUGAGGAAUACAUGGGAAUCUGCCCAGUCGUGGGGGAUAACGUAUGGAAACGUACGCUAAUACCGCAUGCGCCCUUCGGGGGAAAGCCGGGGACCUUCGGGCCUGGCGCGAUUGGAUGAGCCCAUGUCGGAUUAGCUAGUUGGCGGGUAACGGCCCACCGAAGGCGACGAUCCCGUAGCGUGGUCCGUGAGGAGGAUGAUCGACGCCACACGUGGAACCUGGAGACCGACGGUACCAGACCGUCCGUAACGGGAGGCAGCGAAGGUAGGGAAUA
rnacentral:rRNA from 1 species